CCGCACAGCCGGGGAGACGGCGGUUCCCUGCACCUGCAGUCCGCCAUAGCAGGGGUGAUAUCCCGCCUCGGGCGUGCAGAGCUGUGAAGCAGCCCACGGUAAGCGGCGUAGACGCGAGGGCCCCCGCGCGGCGGACCUUUGCGAACCGUGUCAGGGCAGGAAUGCAGCAGCACUAAGCAAAUGCGUACGGGCGAUGCGGGAUCGCCGUCGCCGAGCUGGCUGCCGCGGUAACGUUCAUGGCUCCCGUUCAAAGCGGGAUGUGCGG
rfam:Lachnospiraceae bacterium ACC2 genomic scaffold supercont1.5, whole genome shotgun sequence.